CAUGACUAUAGGACCGAGAGGAGACUGAGAAACACAGGAAGCACCAGAGUGGUUGAAAGGAGCUGAAGGCUCAGACAGCAACCUGGACACUAAGGGUCCAAAGCCAAGCCCAAGGUCAAGUAGCUGGACAGAGAAACAGCUGCAAGCACAGACUUGGAUCCUGACCUGAUUUUCUGCAGAAGCAAGUCCCUGUUUAGCCUUCUACUGCCUCCUUUUAGAAUGAAGCCAGACCAGUACUUUCCAUCAUGGGCUCCUGUGGAAAAUGACCCCAGCUCAGCUCAGUAGUUGAUGGGACAUCUGAUUCAGGUUGGGCCCAGCCCAGACAUCUGAUUCAAACAAUAUUCUUCUCCAGGAAUUUUGUAACCAGCACUGGUAAAGGGAGGGAACUGCUCCCCAGUGGGGAGAGCUGCAGAAUGUGAGACUUGGAAACCAAAGGCCGCCAUGUUUUCUGUCUCAUGAUGGAACCCAAUCUUCUUUGGCGGGGAAAAUAAAUCAAGCCAACACCAGUAGGUAUAAGAGAGAU
rnacentral:sRNA from 1 species